UACGGAGGGUGCAAGCGUUAAUCGGAAUUACUGGGCGUAAAGCGCACGCAGGCGGUUGGAUAAGUUAGAUGUGAAAGCCCCGGGCUCAACCUGGGAAUUGCAUUUAAAACUGUCCAGCUAGAGUCUUGUAGAGGGGGGUGGAAUUCCAGGUGUAGCGGUGAAAUGCGUAGAGAUCUGGAGGAAUACCGGUGGCGAAGGCGGCAUCCUGGACCAUAACUGACGCUGAGGCGCGAAAGCUAGGGGAGCAAACGGG
rnacentral:rRNA from 1 species